rnacentral:lncRNA from 1 species
AGAUUUGAAAAACACGUUUGAAAAUCAUUUUGGCUAAAAUGAAAAUAUUUGAAAAUCUUUUUGGUUUAACUUAACGAUGCAUGAAAAUGAUUUUACGAGAGAAGCCAAGACUUGAAUAAGUUGUCGGAUCAAGAUCACACUAUAAAGUGACUCAUUUAUAACUUUGUUUUGAAUAAGUUGUCGGAUCAAGAUCACACUAUAAAGUGACUCAUUUAUAACUUUGUUGUCAUUCUUGAUCUUGCUCUUUGUUUCUCAUGUUCUUGGACUUUGGCAUAUGUCAAUGUUCCAUGCGCGUCGGUUUGUC